rnacentral:lncRNA from 1 species
CGGCUCUAGCAAGAACAAAGGGAGAAAAGAAAGAACAAACCCUAGGUGGAGAAUUUCAAGAGCAAAAGUGUGGAAAAUCAAGGAAAACAAGUGAAAAAGGUAGGAUUUCUCAAUUUAAACUUGAAAUCUAUUUUCCUUAAGCAUUUCUCCUUAUUUUCCAUGGUUAAAUUUCAUGUUUUGAUGGUGAAUUCAAGGCUAGCCGAAUGGGUAUGGAGAGAGAAUGAUAUUAGAUUGAUUUGAUUUCAAGUUAUGUUAGUGUUUUUAGCUAGUUUACCAUGUCUAGAAGCAAAACAACAAGAAAAGAAUUCAUUUUCCCCAUCACCCAUCAAUGGCUGAACCUACCUUGUAUUGAGUGAGGAUGAAUUUGAUUUUUUAUUUUAAGAGAAUUGGUUAGAAAAUGAUGAAUUAUGGUGUGGAAAAGUAGUAGGAAAAAUCACGGUGUUAAUGCACCAUUAUUGAUCGAAAAUACUAAGAAGAAAAGUGAAGAUGGUUUUGCCAAAUUUUAGGUUAUUUGACUUGUGUUUGGUGAAUUAAGGUAUUGGAAAAGAAAUGGAGCAAUUUGGAGCUAAAUUGGACGCAUUGGCCAAUUAAUCGGGUGAUAAGACGAAUUAGGCCAAUACCGAGUUUAAAUGGUUACCCGUGCAUUUUGCAUUCCAUAUCAUGCAUUAGCAGUCUAAAUUAGUUUAAUUUCGAUUUAGUACCAAUGUAGUAAGUUUCUUGAUUUUGUACUAUGUCAAGGUGGUGAGUCCUCCGAUAAAGGGAAGAAAUUGCAUCCGAAGACCAGUAGUUAGAGUACUUCGAAAAUUCGCACUCUAGAUAUUAUGAGUAACCUUACUAUCGUCUUAAUUAUCUAGAGUGGUUUUUAUCCGAUUUUGUGAUUUUAUGGAAAAUGAGUUUAAUGGUAAAUUUUUAGAAUUUAGAAACAAAAUGUGUUUAAAUAAAAUGAUUUCAUAAAUGGCCUUGAAAUUGAAAGAUGACUUUGAAAC